rnacentral:rRNA from 1 species
GAACGGGGUGCGGCAAUGUACCAAGUGGCGACCGGGUGCGUAACACGUAGCUGACCUACCCCGGCGCGGGGGACAACAGGCCGAAAGGCCUGCUAAUACCGCAUAGCCCGUGGGGCGUUAAAGAACCCAGGGGAAACUUCCGGGGCGCUGGGAGGGAGCUGCGGCCCAUCAGGUAGUUGGUAGGGUAGUGGCCUACCAAGCCGACGACGGGUAGGGGGCCUGAGAGGGUGGUCCCCCACACUGGGACUGACACACGGCCCAGACUCCUACGGGAGGCAGCAGUAAGGGAUAUUGCGCAAUGGGCGAAAGCCUGACGCAGCAACGCCGCGUGGAGGAUGACAGCCUUCGGGUUGUAAACUCCUUUGGACCGAGACGAGCAAGGAC